rnacentral:rRNA from 1 species
AUGAACGCUAGCUACAGGCUUAACACAUGCAAGUCGAGGGGCAGCAUGGUCUUAGCUUGCUAAGGCCGAUGGCGACCGGCGCACGGGUGAGUAACACGUAUCCAACCUGCCGUCUACUCUUGGACAGCCUUCUGAAAGGAAGAUUAAUCCAGGAUGGCAUCAUGAGUCCACAUGUUCUCAUGAUUAAAGGUAUUCCGGUAGACGAUGGGGAUGCGUUCCAUUAGAUAGUAGGCGGGGUAACGGCCCACCUAGUCGACGAUGGAUAGGGGUUCUGAGAGGAAGGUCCCCCACAUUGGAACUGAGACACGGUCCAAACUCCUACGGGAGGCAGCAGUGAGGAAUAUUGGUCAAUGGGCGAGAGCCUGAACCAGCCAAGUAGCGUGAAGGAUGACUGCCCUAUGGGUUGUAAACUUCUUUUAUAAAGGAAUAAAGUCGGGUAUGCAUACCCGUUUGCAUGUACUUUAUGAAUAAGGAUCGGCUAACUCCGUGCCAGCAGCCGCGGUAAUACGGAGGAUCCGAGCGUUAUCCGGAUUUAUUGGGUUUAAAGGGAGCGUAGAUGGAUGUUUAAGUCAGUUGUGAAAGUUUGCGGCUCAACCGUAAAAUUGCAGUUGAUACUGGAUGUCUUGAGUUCAGUUGAGGCAGGCGGAAUUCGUGGUGUAGCGGUGAAAUGCUUAGAUAUCACGAAGAACUCCGAUUGCGAAGGCAGCCUGCUAAUCUGCGACUGACAUUGAGGCUCGAAAGUGUGGGUAUCAAACAGGAUUAGAUACCCUGGUAGUCCACGCCGUAAACGAUGAUUACUAGGUGUGGGGGGAUUGACCCCUUCCGUGCCGGAGUAAACACAAUAAGUAAUCCACCUGGGGAGUACGACCGCAAGGUUGAAACUCAAAGGAAUUGACGGGGGCCCGCACAAGCGGAGGAACAUGUGGUUUAAUUCGAUGAUACGCGAGGAACCUUACCCGGGCUUAAAUUGCAGAUGAAUUACGGUGAAAGCCGUAAGCCGCAAGGCAUCUGUGAAGGUGCUGCAUGGUUGUCGUCAGCUCGUGCCGUGAGGUGUCGGCUUAAGUGCCAUAACGAGCGCAACCCUUGUUGUCAGUUACUAACAGGUUCCGCUGAGGACUCUGACAAGACUGCCAUCGUAAGAUGUGAGGAAGGUGGGGAUGACGUCAAAUCAGCACGGCCCUUACGUCCGGGGCUACACACGUGUUACAAUGGGGGGUACAGAGGGUCGCUACCACGCGAGUGGCUGCCAAUCCCCAAAACCCCUCUCAGUUCGGACUGGAGUCUGCAACCCGACUCCACGAAGCUGGAUUCGCUAGUAAUCGCGCAUCAGCCACGGCGCGGUGAAUACGUUCCCGGGCCUUGUACACACCGCCCGUCAAGCCAUGGGAGCCGGGGGUACCUGAAGUGCGUAACCGCGAGGAGCGCCCUAGGGUAAAACUGGUGACUGGGGCU